UAUUCAAUUCAGUUGGUUUAA
rnacentral:piRNA from 1 species